rnacentral:rRNA from 1 species
AUUGAACGCUGGCGGCAGGCCUAACACAUGCAAGUCGAGCGGAGCGGCGGACGGGUGAGUAAUUCCUAGGUAUCUGCCUGGUCGUGGGGGAUAACGACCGGCAACGGGCGCUCCAACCUCAUACUCGCAGAAGAGCCGACGUCGGAUUAGCUAGUUGGUGGGGUAAGGGCCAACCAAGGCGACGAUCCAUACCUGGUCUGAGAGGAUGAACAGUCACACUGGAACUGAGACACGGUCCAGACUCCUACGGGAGGCAGCAGUGGGGAAUAUGGGACAAUGGGCGAAAGCCUGAUCCAGCCAUGCCGCGUGUGUGAAGAAGGUCUUAGGAUUGUAAAGCACUUUAAGUUGGGAGGCGUUACCAACAGAAUAAGCACCGGCUAACUUCGUGCCAGCCGCCGCGGUAAUUC